GGGGAAUAUUGGGCAAUGGGCGCAAGCCUGACCCAGCAACGCCGCGUGAAGGAAGAAGGCUUUCGGGUUGUAAACUUCUUUUGUCAGGGACGAGUAGAAGACGGUACCUGACGAAUAAGCCACGGCUAACUACGUGCCAGCAGCCGCGGUAAUACGUAGGUGGCAAGCGUUGUCCGGAUUUACUGGGUGUAAAGGGCGUGUAGCCGGGAGGGCAAGUCAGAUGUGAAAUCCACGGGCUUAACUCGUGAACUGCAUUGGAAACUGUGCUUCUUGAGUAUCGGAGAGGCAAUCGGAAUUCCUAGUGUAGCGGUGAAAUGCGUAGAUAUUAGGAGGAACACCAGUGGCGAAGGCGGAUUGCUGGACGACAACUGACGGUGAGGCGCGAAAGCGUGGGGAGCAAAC
rnacentral:rRNA from 1 species